AACUCGAUCUCGGUCGAGAAGCAUGGGUGUGACAGUACUACAUCUUUUAUAAUAAUUCUUAUUCUAAGCGAAUAAGUAAAUAAUAUAUAAGACAAACAACACGUAGUCUGCCAUACGCAGGAAGACCCGCUGAACUGAAGCAUCUCAUUAAGCGG
rnacentral:rRNA from 1 species